rnacentral:rRNA from 1 species
UACGAGGGGGGCAAGCGUUGUUCGGAAUUAUUGGGCGUAAAGGGUGCGUAGGCGGUGCGGUAAGUCUGUUGUGAAAAUCUCCGGGGCUCAACUCGGAGUCUGCAUCAGAAACUGCCGUGCUGGAGUGUGGGAGAGGUGAGUGGAAUUCCCGGUGUAGCGGUGAAAAUGCGUAGAGAUCGGGAGGAACACCUGCGGCGAAAGCGGCUCACUGGACCAUAACUGACGCUGAUGCACGAAAAGCUAGGGGGAGCAAAACAGG